ACGCUCGACACCUACGGGAGCAGCAGUGGGGAAUAUUGCACAAUGGGGGAAACCCUGAUGCAGCGACGCCGCGUGAGCGAAGAAGUAUUUCGGUAUGUAAAGCUCUAUCAGCAGGGAAGAUCAUGACGGUACCUGACUAAGAAGCUCCGGCUAAAUACGUGCCAGCAGCCGCGGUAAUCUGAGCGGGCUGGCAAGGC
rnacentral:rRNA from 1 species